AUAGGCACUUGGAUAUCGGCCCGCGCGGCCCGAGAUUUUCGUUCACCUGCGGCCGCCGCGUUUUGUGUCAGAAAUCGGGCCCCGUGAGGGGGGUACCUAUUUGUUUUGUUUCGUUUAUAGUGUUCUUUUCAAUUUAUGGAUUACUUCCGCCUAUCAAAUUAAAGAGGAAAGAAAGGCACGUAUUAUGGCGUUUUCCACUUCGGGAUCGGUUGUGUGUGUUCGGAGUUACAAGGAGUUAAAAAUAAGCCCCUGAUCACAACCUGCCACUGUUCCAUUGGAUUUAUUGACAGCUCACCAGAAUAAAUCCUGACUUUAAUUAAAAUCCAGAAAUGCUUGCGGAGUUGGUCGAAUUCACAGAAAAACUUGUUUGAACAAGUUGCAAAAAAAUUGAGCACUUAAGAAAGCAUUUGUUGCAGACAAGGAAAAAAAAUUGACAUUAAUUUAACAAUAUCAAGUUGGCAGACUGGGUGAACUAAACAAUUGCCAGAAAUAAAGAAAGAAUAAAUAAGUAUCGUGACACAAAUGCGUGCUUCAAAAAACAUGUCAUAUUUCACAACUAAUUGUCUUUGAAGAAGUUGAACAUUUAAAUAAACACAAUAAAAAAUAUAAUGAAAAACUUGCUGAACAAACUGAAGUAAUAAAAUUAGAAGAGACUAUUGUUUAACUUACAGGGCAAUCUCAUGAGUUAAAGAUGUAAAAGAGAAAUCAAAGAUAAAGACAGAGUAAUUGAUCAUUUACAUGACAAAUUAAAACAUGAAAGAAACAUUCUAACAAUAACAUGCAAAA
rnacentral:lncRNA from 1 species